CAGGACCUGAAGGAGUGUGCUUAGACGUGCUGCCCUAAAAGCAAUGGAGUUGGGGGGUGCCCCCUCCUUUUCAUUUGUGGUCUACUCCUGGAAUGGGGGGUGUCUGGCAGAGGUAGGUCUGGCCCUGCUGAUGUCAGUUAAGAGGCAUCGUUUUUAGGAGGUGUAAUAUAAAGAAUAACAGGUCUCACGGCUGGCUGACCAGCAUAAAUGAUAAUAUGGAUAAAGUAUGUACUUGAAUCUGUGAGUAUGAAAAAUAUGAGUUUUAUCAUAAGGAAAUGUAAUUAAAUGGGUAAUGGGGAAAUCCAACUGGGGAUCAUGUCUAAAGCUCCAGCUGAGCGCAGGAGCCUCCUGUUCAGCACCAGGAGGAAAGGUCUGAUAUUGUGCUUUGAAUUAAACAUCUCCCUAGGCCUGGCAUCAGGUUGUUGAGGUCCCAAACUGAUCUGGCUCGCUGUGUCACUGUGUGGCAGUGCUGAAAGCCUGGGGACAUGCCACUCACCCCAUGGGUUGGCUUUAGGUGGAGCUAGGAGCUGGCACUAAAUGCCCACACUACCUUGGAGCACCACAGAUCUCAUCCAGUCAGGGACAUCCAUGUGGGGAAUAUCAUUUUUUUUUUCACCCCCUAACCCCAUUUUAUGGAUCUUUCACCUUGGUUCCAGCUCGCUUAUCCUGGUUUCUCCUGCAGCAAUGCAAAUCCUUAUCUCCCCCAACUUCAGCCACCAAGGGUGGGAACCGUGCAUCUACGUGCAGACAGCUCAAUGGGAAGCAAGUGAAGGUUGCAUAAAGGUAUAGACAAGGGUCUUUCUUUAUCCUGAUACACCUUCCCCGAGCUCAUGCUCUUGGCCAUGUUGGAGACAGAGGGGUGAUCUGAGCCAGACUGGAUGCUCUUAUGUUCUUCCUUUUCCUCAUGAUAAGAAAAAUACCCGCUUGAAAACAUUACCUGUCCCUCACACUACCCUUUGAGGUGGAUAAAAGAGGUAAGCACCACUGUCUUCAUUUACUCUAUGGGAAAAUGGGGCAAAAAUGUUUUGAUAUGCAGUAUCUCCUGAACAGCUUGAAGCAGCAUGGCUCUUACCUGUGGGCAUGUGUCUAAGCAAUGUCCAUGUCAAAACUGGCCAAGGAAGAUUGGGAUCCUCUCUUUGAAGACCUACAGAUGACACAUGAAAGAAGAAAACAGGACAGAGCAGCAGAAACGGGAGCUGCACAAAUGCAAGGCGUUGCCAUAGGAUCCAGCCCAUGUCUUGCCAAAAUGCCCAUAAGCCAGAGAUCUUGUCUUAUGUUGCCAUAUGUCACAUGCUAUAAAUAAAUCAGUUUGGUUUUGGCUGGCUGCUAUUGCU
rnacentral:lncRNA from 1 species